AUUGAACGCUGGCGGCAUGCCUUACACAUGCAAGUCGAACGGCAGCGCGGACUUCGGUCUGGCGGCGAGUGGCGAACGGGUGAGUAAUGCAUCGGAACGUACCUUUCAGUGGGGGACAACGUAGCGAAAGUUACGCUAAUACCGCAUAUUCUGUGAGCAGGAAAGCAGGGGAUCGCAAGACCUCGCGCUGAUUGAGCGGCCGAUGUCAGAUUAGCUAGUUGGUGAGGUAAAGGCUCACCAAGGCGACGAUCUGUAGCGGGUCUGAGAGGAUGAUCCGCCACACUGGGACUGAGACACGGCCCAGACUCCUACGGGAGGCAGCAGUGGGGAAUUUUGGACAAUGGGGGCAACCCUGAUCCAGCCAUGCCGCGUGAGUGAAGAAGGCCUUCGGGUUGUAAAGCCCUUUCGGCCGGGAAGAAAUCGCAUGGGUUAAUACCCUGUGUGGAUGACGGUACCGGAAUAAGAAGCACCGGCUAACUACGUGCCAGCCGCCGCGGUAACAC
rnacentral:rRNA from 1 species